CAUGUAGGCGGCUUUGUAAGUCGGGCGUGAAAAUGCGGGGCUCAACCCCGUAUGGCGCUUGAAACUGCAAGGCUUGAGUGCAGGAGAGGAAAGGGGAAUUCCCAGUGUAGCGGUGAAAUGCGUAGAUAUUGGGAGGAACACCAGUGGCGAAGGCGCCUUUCUGGACUGUGUCUGACGCUGAGAUGCGAAAGCCAGGGUAGCGAACG
rnacentral:rRNA from 1 species